rnacentral:lncRNA from 1 species
GCUCUCUCCUAGCUUCUAGCUUUAACCAUUGCCAUUUAAGCCUUGAAAAAAAAAUGAAGCUGACAGCGUGAAGAUGGCAAUGCCUUCGCACCGUGGAAGUUUCACUGCAGCAGUGGGAAGGAAAAGCAGCUUCCACAAAGGGACCGUGCAACUGCCUGAAGUCAAGGAAGCUGUGCAUGAGUUUCAGGGCGAAACACCAAGCACAGUACCAGGAUUUCUUUCUUUCUCCCAGGUGAGGAUUUCUGUGUACAACACUAAGUAUCAAACUUACAUAAAACUCACACUACAAAAAUAUAUCCCAGCGUGGCUGUUUCUCUAACUACUUCAGAUACAGCUCCCCUAGACCAAAUGAUUUUAAAUGGCUUCUGCAUAAAUUCCUAGGUACAUCCUCAUAAAGAGACAAUAAUGGAACUGGAAGAAAUUACCUGCAAUCAGGCUGUGAUGAAAUCAGGCCUCGGCUGUGACCCUGCAAAGAAUGACUCGUGUGUGUCAUUAAACAUUAUAACUCCAUUCCAGGCUAUGGCACCUUUCAAAGACUACAGCACCUUUGCUAGUCAAGGAAUUAAACUGUACAGAUAAAAGCAAUAAGGACUUACUUGCUGACACCUCAGUAACAGUUAAAAAAAAAAAAAAAAAAAAAAAAGUCACGUGAAAAAUAUUCUAUGAGGAGGUGAAAUUGUCCAAUCCAUUAAGUAAGAAAUUGGGCUUGAAGUGUUUUGAAUGGUGAAUCACAUACUACAUGUAGCUCUGAUUGUUACAUUCUUUUUCAUCAAAGUGGCUGACCUCUGAAGGUGACCCUUAACAUGACAAGGAAAUCUAUUGUUUCCACAGAGAAGGACUACACAUGAAGUCAACUGAAGCUGCAAGGUGAUCACUACCCUUUGCAACUCAGCUGCUUAUAUAAACGUCUGCAUGUGGAAACAGAAGCCAAAAACACUUUUUGCACCUACUUUGUAAAAAGAAGAAAAACAGCUUGGCUAGAAGAUGAAGCUCCUAAGAAAAAAAUCUGCCAUGAAAUUCCCAGGUGUCAAAUUUUAAGUGAGAAAAGUGUGACACAUGUAGCAAUUAUGAUGGACUGAAACUGUCUGGGGGAGAUGGCAAGGAAAGGGAGAAGCACUCACACACCUGCUGCCACGUGCACCAGAGCCGCCAUCUGACAUGCUUUGGGGGUGGCAGCGUACACCUGGGGCGGACAUCCUCUUUCUCCCAGUUCUUGCUCUGAGAAGCUGGGAUGUGAUCCAAGAGAAGGGACACCUUCGAGAUAGGAGAGUAACUAACACUGCCACCUAUGAUUAACUUUUUUUUUUUUUUUAAAUGAU